GACUGUAGGAGAAAGCCCAGAGGAGCAAUGAAGACAAAGAAGACAUGACACCUGCAAAAAGUCAGUGGAGUAUUUCUACGUAACAAACCUUCCAGGCUGCCAUGAUCCUCCCUUUGGACUCCAUGGUCAGGGGCGUUGCACAGAUCCUCCCUUUGGACCCCGCCUGCCUGAAGGGCCUAUACCUUGGUCAGGCAUCUUAGAAGGACUGCUGUGAGCCAUGUCAUAAAAAGGAGAAAACAUCACAGUGGACAGCCCCAAUUCCUGCAUAUACAGAUGGGAAACUUAGGUGCACUGCUUCUCUGAUUGACUCCAAAUACUACAGCACCACACCCUUCUAGACUGGUGGAUGUGCAGCUCCACUUCUUUGCAAGGAGGACACACAAUAGCAGAAUAUCCAUGGCCCAACUUUCUGGAGCAUCAGUAUUACUACAAGAUUUGGAAGAAGCUAAGUUAGGUCAUUUCCAAGUGGGAAGUCCAUCUCCACCUGUGGCUAAGAAGUGUGAGAAGAAGCCCAACCUACGGCCUUCCCUCCUAAGCUGGUGGUGGAGCAGUUGACUGUGAUGGAUGCGGAGCUCUUCCGGAAGGUGGUGCCCUCUCAGUGCCUGGGCUCCACCUGGGGCAAGAGGAACAAGCCCAGCAAUGAGCACCUGGCACACACCGUCCGGGCCACCAUCGACCACUUCAGAAGGGUGGCCAGCCUCGUCGUCACCACCUGCCUCGGGGACCCGAGCAUGAUGGCCCAGGACAGGGAGUGCAAGAUCCUGAAGAACUUCUCCUCGCCCCGCACUGUCAUCUCUGUUCUGCAGAAAACAUCCAUAUGCCACCUGAAGAACACAUGGGGGAAGUUUCCUGGUGGGGAGAGCUCUGAAAAACUUAAGGAGCGCUAUAGCCAAGACGAGUCCUUGAGCAGAGAACUGAUGACCAAGGAGGGGCCCUCCACGUUUGCUCCCCCAGAGAGCAACCCCCAGAGAGUGCAGGAGAAGCAGCAGCAGCGGCAGGGGAAUGGGAUCAACCUUGAGAAGAGUACUGAGGAGCAGCUGUGGCACUCCCUGCAGGGGAGAGGAAGGAGGUGGAAAUCAGAGACCUUCUGGGCAGAACAGUCCUUGGCUUCACCCGCUGUAUCUUACAUUGAGUGGAAGAGUUUGAUACCAGAGAAGUGGGAGACCCAUCCAAUUGGCGGCUACACCUUGUCCUGCCAGCCAGAGCGCUAGACCUAGUUGGCCUGCAGAGUACGCAAGGCCAAGAAGAACCGGCCAUCAUCAAGGUCAGGGGUUCAUCUUGGCUGAAAUCAUCCCAAGUGUUUUGUUUUCUGUCCAGCUUGCCUCCCUCAACACGAGGUUGAUGAGACUCACCCAGCAUGUGUGUGUCAGCGUUUGCUCCUUGGCAUGGCUGAGGGCGUUCUGCUCUGUGGUUGCCCUACAGUGCGCUCGUCUUGCAGGUCAUCUCCUGUGAACAUUCUUGUACAAACCCUUUUUUUUGCUUCUUAAUUCCUUUAUUAGCAUUUAAGUGACACACCUUUGCAUUUUUUAGUGGUUGGUCCAGAUUACAAUAUGCAUCUUUAACAUAUCACUGCCUACCUAGACUUAAUAGUGCACCAGUUUAAUCAAUGUAAAAUAUGGAAGCCUUGCUACAGAACAGUUCCAUUUACCUAUGUCUGUCCAUUAUGUUAUUGUUGUCAUAAAUUUUACAUCUACCCAUGUUGUAAAUCCCACAAUACAAUGUUAUAAUUUUUGCUUUAAA